rnacentral:rRNA from 1 species
GACAGAGGAGCCAAGCGUUGUCCGGACUGACUGGGCGUAAAGGGCGCGCAGGCGGCUACGCACGUCCGUUGUGAAAUCGCUCGGCUCAACUGGGCGGGGUCAGCGGAUACGGCGUAGCUGGAGCAAGCUAGGGGGCAAUGGAAUUCCCGGUGUAGUGGUGGAAUGCGUAGAUAUCGGGAGGAACACCAGUGGCGAAGGCGGUUGCCUGGAGCUUUGCUGACGCUGAGGCGCGAAAGCGUGGGGAGCGAUCCGG